UGGCGGACGGGUGAGUAACGCGUGGAAAACCUGCCGUAUACUGGGGGAUAACACUUAGAAAUAGGUGCUAAUACCGCAUAAGCGCACAGCUUCGCAUGAAGCGGUGUGAAAAACUCUGGUGGUAUACGAUGGUUCCGCGUCUGAUUAGCUAGUUGGUGGGGUAAUGGCCUACCAAGGCAACGAUCAGUAGCCGGCCUGAGAGGGUGAACGGCCACAUUGGGACUGAGACACGGCCCAAACUCCUACGGGAGGCAGCAG
rnacentral:rRNA from 1 species